rnacentral:rRNA from 1 species
AGACAGAGGGUGCGAACGUUGCUCGGAAUUACUGGGCGUAAAGCGCGUGUAGGCGGACUUGUAAGUCGAUUGUGAAAGCCCUGGGCUCAACCCAGGAACUGCAUUCGAAACUCCAAGUCUUGAGUGGUGGAGAGGGAAGCGGAAUUCCCGGUGUAGAGGUGAAAUUCGUAGAUAUCGGGAGGAACACCAGCGGCGAAGGCGGCUUCCUGGACACCAACUGACGCUGAGACGCGAAAGCGUGGGGAGCAAACAGGAUUAGAAACCCCAGUAGUCC